ACGUAAUUGUGCCUUCUUACUUCUUACAGUUCUGGAGUCUCCAAGUCCCAGAUCAAGACUCAGCAGGGCUGACUUCCACUAAGGGCCAGUUGUCAGAAUUUCAUAUAGCUUCCUUCUGUCUCCUUGACCUCAUGUGGCGACAGCAAGCCUUCUGGGAUCUCCACUGGAUAGGUCUGCACUAGUCCAGACAUCGCAGUCCUUCAGCACGGGCAAAAGGGUUGUACUAUGACCAAGGCCUUGAGGACCAUUGACUCCUGUGGUCUCCAAGGCUCUGAGUUUUGCACUUUUAGCUCCUGCAACUUUCGGUACCCCAUGAGAUCCGCAGCCAGGAGCGCUCAGUCUGAGCUUACAAGAGGUGUCAGUGGCUGACAAGAG
rnacentral:sRNA from 1 species